rnacentral:rRNA from 1 species
GAUGAACGCUGGCGGCGUGCCUAAUACAUGCAAGUCGAGCGAACAGAUGAGGAGCUUGCUCCUCUGACGUUAGCGGCGGACGGGUGAGUAACACGUGGAUAACCUACCUAUAAGACUGGGAUAACUUCGGGAAACCGGAGCUAAUACCGGAUAAUAUAUUGAACCGCAUGGUUCAAUAGUGAAAGACGGUUUUGCUGUCACUUAUAGAUGGAUCCGCGCCGCAUUAGCUAGUUGGUACGGUAACGGCUUACCAAGGCGACGAUGCGUAGCCGACCUGAGAGGGGGAUCGGCCACACUGGAACUGAGACACGGUCCAGACUCCUACGGGAGGCAGCAGUAGGGAAUCUUCCGCAAUGGGCGAAAGCCUGACGGAGCAACGCCGCGUGAGUGAUGAAGGUCUUCGGAUCGUAAAACUCUGUUAUUAGGGAAGAACAAAUGUGUAAGUAACUAUGCACGUCUUGACGGUACCUAAUCAGAAAGCCACGGCUAACUACGUG